rnacentral:rRNA from 1 species
AGUGAACGCUGGCGGUAGGCCUAACACAUGCAAGUCGAACGGCAGCACAGUAAGAGCUUGCUCUUACGGGUGGCGAGUGGCGGACGGGUGAGGAAUACAUCGGACUCUACUUUUUGGGGGGGGUUAAGGAAGGGAACCUUACUCUAUUACAGAAACCACCCACGGGUGGAAGGAGGGGGACAUUCGACCCUUGCGGGAUUGAAUUAGCGAAGUCGGAUUUGCUAGUUGGGGGGGUAAAGGCCCAACAAGGCGACGAUCCGUCGGUGGUCUGAGAGGAUGAUCAGCCACACUGGAACUGAGACACGGUCCAGACGCCUACGGGAGGCAGCAGUGGGGAAUAUUGGACAAUGGGCGCAAGCCUGAUCCAGCCAUACCGCGUGGGUGAAGAAGGCCUUCGGGUUGGAAAGCCCUUUUGUUGGGAAAGAAAAGCAGCAGGUUAAUACCCCGCUGUUCUGACGGUACCCAAAGAAUAAGCACCGGCUAACUUCGUG